AAAACAAAACAAAACAAAAAAAGGAUCUGGUAUUGUCACCGCUGUGGCUCCAGUUACUGCUGUGGCACAGGUGCCCUCUCUGGCCCUGGAACUUCUGCAGCAGUGGGCAAGGCCGAAAAACAAAACAAAACAAAACAAAAAUAAAACUGGAGUGAUUCAUAGAAGUCUCAAAAACGUGUCUCUUAGAUAAAACAUAAUCCCUUUAAUGGUGUAGGUGGGUGGAACUUCAUAAACUUGAUUAAAGUGCUCCAAGCUCCUUUAUUUCCCAAGAAUCAUUCCUUAAGGUAUUUGAAAAUUACAACUAUACUAGAAUCUUUCCAUCUUUUUUAUUGAUAAAGUGUAAAGCCAACAUAAAAAAAAAGUACAAUCAGUCUCUUGUCUGUUUUAUUUUUUUUAAUUUUUUUUGGUCUUUUUGCCUUUUCUAGGGCCACUCCUGCGGCAUAUGGAGGUUCCCAGGCUAGGGGUCUAAUCGGAGCUGUAGCCACUGGCCUACACCAGAGCUACAGCAAUGUGGGAUCCAAGCCACAUCUGUGACCUACACCACAGCUCAUAGCAACGCCGGAUCCUUAACCCACUGAGCAAGGCCAGGAAAUGAACCAUCAUCCUCAGGGAUACUAGUCAGGUUCAUUUACCACUGAGCCACGACAGGAACUCUUGAGUGNUAUCCGAACCACAUCUGCGACCUCUAGCACAGUUCAUGGCAGUGCCGGAUCCUUAACCCACUGAGCAAGGCCAGGAAAUGAACCAUCAUCCUCAGGGAUACUAGUCAGGUUCAUUUACCACUGAGCCACGACAGGAACUCUGUCUCUUGUCUGUGUAAACAGCACCAGCCUUCUCUGAAGUUCUGUCUAAUCUGUCUAAUCAAUCUCUCUGUUUAACAUUAAAAAACAAACGGGAAUUCCCAUCGUGGCAUAGAGGAAACAAUCGAGCUAGUAUUCCUGAAGAUGCAGUUCCAUCCCUGGCCUUGAUCAGUGAGUGGGUUGGGGAUCUGGCGUUGCUGUGAGCUGUGGUGCAGGUUGCAGACGAGGCUCCAAUCCAUCAUUGCUGUGACUGUGAUGCAGGCUGGUAGCUGUGGCUGUGAUGCAGGCUGGCAGCUGUAGCUCUGAUUUGACCCCUAGCCUGGGAACUUUGAUAUGCCAAAGAGGUGGCCCAUAAAAGAAAAAAAAAAGAAGCCCUCUAGUAAUAGUCUAGUCCAGUGCUUACUUUACUGGUAAGCACAUAGUGUUGAGGACUUGUUAUCCUUACUCUUUAAUGCUACAGGCUAUACGCCUAAUCUAAAAAGAUGUCUUGUGUGAGUUUGGCCGAUAUUUUAUCUCUUAGAAUAUCUCCCUGCCUCUCUCUCCCUCUCUUUUUUUGGCCACCCCUGGGGCAUGCGGAAGUUCCCAGGCCAGAGAUCAAACCCUAAGCCGUGGCUGUAACCAGAGCCAAAGCAGUGGCAACACCAGAUCUUUAACCCACUGAGCCACUGGAGAACUCCAGAACAUUUCUUUUUAUUUGUUUAGGUAGGUUGUCAAUUUUAUUUUAUUUAUUUAUCUUUUCUUUAGGGCCGCACCUGCAGCAUAUGGAAGUUCCCAGGCUAGAGGUCUAAUCAGAGCAGUAGCCACUAGCCUACACCACAGCCACAGCAACAUGGGAUCCGAGACUUGUCUGUGACCUACACCACAGCUCCCAGCAAUGCUGGACCCUUAACCCAUUCAUCGGGACCAGUGAUCGAACGCGAGUCCUCAUGGAUACUAAUUGGAUUUGUUACCACUGAGCCACCUCAGGAACUACUAAUCUUCUCUAAUCUUGAAAGCAAAAGCUGCGUUCAUUUUGUUUCUCUAUCUCUUCCUCCAACACCAUUUCCAUACCCUCUCAGUACUUGGCACAUCACAUUAUUUAAAUAGACCUUUGGUGGAGUUCCCGUCAUGGCUCAGCAGAAACGAAUCUGACUAGUAUCCAUGAGGACGCAGAUUUGAUCCUUGGCCUCGCUCAGUGGGUUAAGGAUCUGGCGUUGCCGUGAGCUGUGGUGUACGUCGCAGAUGCGGCUCGGAUCUGGCAUUGCUGAGGCAUAGGCCAGUAGCUACAGCUCCGAUUUGACUC
rnacentral:lncRNA from 1 species